rnacentral:rRNA from 1 species
GAUGAACGCUGGCGGCGUGCCUAAUACAUGCAAGUCGAGCGAACGGACGAGAAGCUUGCUUCUCUGAUGUUAGCGGCGGACGGGUGAGUAACACGUGGAUAACCUACCUAUAAGACUGGGAUAACUUCGGGAAACCGGAGCUAAUACCGGAUAAUAUUUUGAACCGCAUGGUUCAAAAGUGAAAGACGGUCUUGCUGUCACUUAUAGAUGGAUCCGCGCUGCAUUAGCUAGUUGGUAAGGUAACGGCUUACCAAGGCAACGAUGCAUAGCCGACCUGAGAGGGUGAUCGGCCACACUGGAACUGAGACACGGUCCAGACUCCUACGGGAGGCAGCAGUAGGGAAUCUUCCGCAAUGGGCGAAAGCCUGACGGAGCAACGCCGCGUGAGUGAUGAAGGUCUUCGGAUCGUAAAACUCUGUUAUUAGGGAAGAACAUAUGUGUAAGUAACUGUGCACAUCUUGACGGUACCUAAUCAGAAAGCCACGGCUAACUACGUGCCAGCAGCCGCGGUAAUACGUAGGUGGCAAGCGUUAUCCGGAAUUAUUGGGCGUAAAGCGCGCGUAGGCGGUUUUUUAAGUCUGAUGUGAAAGCCCACGGCUCAACCGUGGAGGGUCAUUGGAAACUGGAAAACUUGAGUGCAGAAGAGGAAAGUGGAAUUCCAUGUGUAGCGGUGAAAUGCGCAGAGAUAUGGAGGAACACCAGUGGCGAAGGCGACUUUCUGGUCUGUAACUGACGCUGAUGUGCGAAAGCGUGGGGAUCAAACAGGAUUAGAUACCCUGGUAGUCCACGCCGUAAACGAUGAGUGCUAAGUGUUAGGGGGUUUCCGCCCCUUAGUGCUGCAGCUAACGCAUUAAGCACUCCGCCUGGGGAGUACGACCGCAAGGUUGAAACUCAAAGGAAUUGACGGGGACCCGCACAAGCGAUGGAGCAUGUGGUUUAAUUCGAAGCAACGCGAAGAACCUUACCAAAUCUUGACAUCCUUUGACAACUCUAGAGAUAGAGCUUUCCCCUUCGGGGGACAAAGUGACAGGUGGUGCAUGGUUGUCGUCAGCUCGUGUCGUGAGAUGUUGGGUUAAGUCCCGCAACGAGCGCAACCCUUAAGCUUAGUUGCCAUCAUUAAGUUGGGCACUCUAAGUUGACUGCCGGUGACAAACCGGAGGAAGGUGGGGAUGACGUCAAAUCAUCAUGCCCCUUAUGAUUUGGGCUACACACGUGCUACAAUGGACAAUACAAAGGGCAGCGAAACCGCGAGGUCAAGCAAAUCCCAUAAAGUUGUUCUCAGUUCGGAUUGUAGUCUGCAACUCGACUACAUGAAGCUGGAAUCGCUAGUAAUCGUAGAUCAGCAUGCUACGGUGAAUACGUUCCCGGGUCU